UACGGAGGAUCCGAGCGUUAUCCGGAUUUAUUGGGUUUAAAGGGUGCGUAGGCGGCCUGUUAAGUCAGGGGUGAAAUACGGUGGCUCAACCAUCGCAGUGCCUUUGAUACUGACGGGCUUGAAUCCAUAUGAAGUGGGCGGAAUAAGACAAGUAGCGGUGAAAUGCAUAGAUAUGUCUUAGAACUCCGAUUGCGAAGGCAGCUCACUAAGCUGGUAUUGACGCUGAUGCACGAAAGCGUGGGGAUCGAAC
rnacentral:rRNA from 1 species